UGGUCAUAUACCAAGGCUACUAGGAUGGCUUUUGUUCCUGGUCUGCUGUGGACAUGACCAAAAAGUAAACUCCAGAUGUUUCACGUCAUCUGAUGUGACACUCUGGAAACAUUC
rnacentral:snoRNA from 1 species